rnacentral:rRNA from 1 species
GACGAACGCUGGCGGCGUGCUUAACACAUGCAAGUCGAACGGUAAGGCCCUGCUUUUGUGGGGUGCUCGAGUGGCGAACGGGUGAGUAACACGUGAGUAACCUGCCCUUGACUUUGGGAUAACUUCAGGAAACUGGGGCUAAUACCGGAUAGGAGCUCCUGCUGCAUGGUGGGGGUUGGAAAGUUUCGGCGGUUGGGGAUGGACUCGCGGCUUAUCAGCUUGUUGGUGGGGUAGUGGCUUACCAAGGCUUUGACGGGUAGCCGGCCUGAGAGGGUGACCGGCCACAUGGGGACUAAGAUACGGCCCAGACUCCUACGGGAGGCAGCAGUGGGGAAUAUUGCACAAUGGGCGGAAGCCUGAUACAGCAACGCCGCGUGCGGGAUGACGGCCUUCGGGUUGUAAACCGCUUUCGCCUGUGACGAAGCGUGAGUGACGGUAAUGGGUAAAGAAGCACCGGCUAACUACGUG